AUUUAAUUAGUAUAAUUUAUGUAAAUUUUGCAACUAUAAAUUUAUAAAAUAAGCAACUAGCUUAAAUUUUGAAGUCAAAAUUAAUAUCGUUGACCAACACAAAUCUAGCAAAUUGAAAGAUCUUUAUAGUCGAAUCAAAAUUGUCCAUAACUUAAAUAAAUUCUGUACGUAUUUGUUGGUGUAAAAUCCAAAAGCUCUAAAUAUUAUUUAAUUAUUUUAUUCUCAUUAAUUGUCUUUUAUUAUGUUAAUUAAUUGAAUGAAUUUAAUUUUAUUUUAUUACUUCUUUAUUCCACUUAAUGGGCCUAAUUAAGGAAAAGUUAAACUCCCAACGUUAACUUUUUCCAUUCCCCUCCAUAUAUGUUUUUGGUCUACUGUCCACAGGGCAAUAUGAGUAGUAGUGAAAACAACAAGUGGAAAAUAGUUUUUUUUUAAGUUUUUUCUUCAAUUUUCUAUUUUCUUGAUUCCUUUAUCACUGGGUGUUGAAAGAAACUUCGUCAACCUCUUCCGCGUUUGUGCUCGUAGGAGGAAGAAUUCCGGUCGUACCUUGGGGCGUUGUUUUCGGUUAAUCCCGCACGUAAGGAUGGAAAUACGCCUUAGAGCAGUGCUUCGCACGCUUCCGGAUCAAUACAGUAUUUAUUUGGAUUUAGCGAUAAUCUGUAAGUUGAUUUAUUUAUUUUCAUCAUAAAAUUUAGUUAGAUUUAAAUCACAAUCAGAUUUCUGUGCGGCAUUUGUUCUAACAGUAUUUACCAAAGAAAAUUUAUUUUCUAACCCUAUAUAAAUAAGCACAUAGUUCUAAAAUAUAUCUUUGGCAUUUUGAGUCUAUUUUGUGUCUCUACAUGUAUAAAUCUCUCCCUCAACACCCUUCAAUAGGCCUAAUAUCACAAAGAAGAAACUUUUCAAUAAGUUCAUUUAUUGAUCUUUCUAGUACUUUGUUGCUACUCAUCUUUCACUCAUUAAUUUCAUAAUAAAAUAUAGGCUAAAUUACAAAAAACCCCCCUAUCUAAACCUGAUUUUUCACUUUUCCCUCCUGUUAUUUAAAAACCUACACUUUGUCCCCUUGUAAAAUAAAAAAUGUUCACAGGAGGGUACGGUGUGAACUGUGACGAUAAAAUAAUCAUUUUGUCCCUCACCAUUUUGCCCCUCACCAUGUUCAUAGGAGAGAAGGUUGAGGGUAUUUUUGGCAUAAAAAAUAUAUAAUAAUAUUUUAUAAACGGAAUCCUAACGGAUUACUAAUGGCAGGGGGCGAAGUGAACAUUUUUUAUUUUACAAGAGAGCAAAGUGUAGGUUUUUAAAUGGCAGAAAAGAAAAAUAAAAAAUCACGUUUUGACAGGAAAGUUUUAUAUAAUUUAGCCUAAAAUAUAUGUUUAAUAUAUAUAUAUAUAUAUAUAGCAAAUAAAUGAGAGAAUGGAUAUAUGAG
rnacentral:lncRNA from 1 species